GAAAAUUUCAGGGCCGAUAGAUCUUGACCAAUUAAACAAUUUUACCCCAUGUCACAUUUGCUCUAAAAGAUUUUAGUUUUUGAGAUAUAAGCCAAAAACUGCAUUUGACCCUUAUGUUCUAUUUUUAGCCAUGGCGGCCAUGUUUGUCGAUGGAUACAAACUUCGGAUACAAUUUAUAAACAAGAUACCCUAAGGAACAUUUAAUUAAAGUUUGAAGGUAAUUGGCCCCGUAGUUUCAGAGGAGAAGAUUUUUAAAUGUUAGCGAACUUGAUGAAUAAAUUGUGUAAAAUUGUCUUUAAAGGGCAAUAACUCCUUAAGGGGUCAAUUGACAAUUAUGGUCAUAUUAACUUUUUCGUAGAUCUUACUUUGCUGAACAUUAUUGCUGCUUACAGUUUAUAUAUAUCUAUAAUAAUAUUCAAAAUAAAAUGCUUCGCUGGGCGCAGCUUAAUACGACCGCAGAGGUCGAACCCUGAACAGUUGGGGCAAGUAUGGACACAACAUUCAAGCUUGAUACAGCUCUGAAUUUGGAUUGUGAUUAAAUAUUUGACACAGCAUAGGUUUCUGACACAGAAUGAAUGUGGUCUAAGAACUUAAAAAUUUUAAAUUGGACAUUCACCUAUUAUGGUCCAAUAUCCAAAAUCUAAAUACAUGGUUAGAUUCAGCAUAUCAAAGAACCCCAAGAAUUCAAUUUUUGAUGAAAUCAAACAAAGUUUAAUUUUGGACCCUUUUGACCUCAAUGUGGACAAAGUUGAUAACGGGGCCCUAAAAUCAAAAAUCUAAAUACAUGGUUAGAUUCAGCAUAUCAAAGAACCCCAUAUAUUCAAUUUUUGUUCAAAUCAAACAAAGUUUAAUUUUGGACCCCGAUUUGGACUAACUUAAAAAACUGGGCCCAUAAUCAAAAAUCUAAAUACAUGUUUAGAUUCAGCAUAUCAAAGAACCCUAAGAAUUCAAUUUUUGUUAAAAUCAAACUUAGUUUAAUUUUGGACCCUUUGGACCUUAAUGUAGACCAAUUUGAAAACGGAACCAAAAAUUAAGAAUCUAAAUACAUGGUUAGAUUCGGCAUAUCAAAGAACCCCAAUAAUUCAAUUUUUGAUGAAAUCAAACAAAGUUUAAUUUUGGACCCUUUGGACCUCAAUGUGGACCAAUUUAAAAACGGGGCCCAAAAUCCAAAAACUUAAUACACGGUUAGAUUCAGCAUAUUAAAGAACCCCAAGAAUUCAAGAAUAAAACCCCAUUGAAAUUGGUCAAGAAAUAAGCAAUUUAUACGAAGUAUCUUCUUUUGCACAAUACUGUGCAAUUGAAUAUUUCUUGCUAUUGCGCAAUACUGCACAAUUGACAAUUUCUUGCUAUUGCGCAAUAUUGUGCUAUUGGAUAUUUCUUGCUCUUGCGCAAUAAGGUGCAAUUGAAGAUUUCUUGCUAUUGCGCAAUACUGUGCAAUUGAAGAUUUUUGCUAUUGUGCAAUACUGUGCAAUUGAAAAUUUCUUGCUAUAGCACAAUACUUAUUAUAUAAUAAUUUACACAUCCUGUUUGGUGUGUAUCUCCUACCAUAUCAUUAUUAUUUGCUUUUAAAUAUAAAUCAGAAAUAAC